UUCAAGCAAAACACAUCAAAAAUAAUUUCUAUUUAACUUUUAGAGAAAAGUGGAAACGCAAUUCUGUUCUUUAGAUAUCUACAAGUAAAAUUUAAAACAAAACUUUACAUUUAAAUAAAGCAAAACAAAGAAAUUAGGAUCCCAACAAGCUACAUACUCGAAAUCAGCCUGCUUAAAAUAAUAGAGUAUAUCCACCAUCAUUCCGGAUUCGUUUACUAAUUUUUUUGGACAUACAGCAUGGAUCGCAAGUCAUACUGCUCAGUUGAAGAAACCCUACAAGUUCCCAGCUCAGAAUGCAAGGAAAAUUACUUCUGGAUAUUGGGAAAUUAAGGGAACGUUCACAUAAAUGCUUUAACGUGAAAAUCUAGUAGUUACACUCGCGCAAAACGACAAAAAAUUAAUAAAUUUCUUGAUCGUCGCAUUGUAACUACAGUGGAACUUCUUUAACUCGAAUCACCAUAAUCCACAAAAAAAAAUCGAGUUAGAGAGACUUCGAGUUAUAGAAAUGUUCAUUAAAACAUACAUUUUUCAAAAAGCUGUAAAAUAUAGAUUUACCCAUAGUUUCAGUUAUUUACUUCGCAACAAGUUAUAUUUAAAUACAUUAAAACAUGUAUGUUGUCGUAAAGCUGUUUUGUAAAGCUGUGAAUUAUUCAAUAGAGUUGAAUUCAUUGGUUGCCUGGCAUAUGCCACUACACCAUUUAAAAUUGAAGGCGCGAUUUCACAUCGAAACUUGCCAUUUAAAAAAGUGUCUCCAAUGGGUUCCAAUUACGAAGCAAAAUAAACUUAUCGUCUGGUUAUGAAAAAAUGCAUUGCUUACACGAAUGCCUUUGAUUCCUAAAGUUAUAACAAUUAAAUUUAAACAAUAAGUCCCAAGUCCAAACAUUGUCUUAUAGAGGAGAUUCUUCAGAUUAAGAAUAUAUGUAUAUAAUUAUAGUCACCGGAGGAUGGAGUCUUAUGUAGAAGAUCACGCAUUUAUCUAUCCUUUACUCAUGAGAGCCUCCGGACCCAGACCGCCAAAGUAAUCGGAAUCGUGCCAAAUAACAUGUUUAAUUUUUCCAAAUAUUAUAGUUUAAAUGCAAAUAUUUAAAAAAAAUAUAAGUGCGGUAUAAAUAUCUAUACAUAUUAUUCUAUCUCUAACAUAUCCAAUAAAACGCAAUUGGUGCAAUAAAUAUUUUACUUGAAAUGUAACUAACGGUGAUUUAUCCUUUUUCUAUUAGUUAGUUCUCUGUUUUAACAAUAAUAUACAAAUUCUAAAAAUAAUUAGCCCGCAUUUAUGAAAUUAGAUUCAAAAAUAAAUAUUAUAACUUAAAGUUAUAUCUAUCUAUAAUAUAAAAAUGAAUCGCAAAAUGUGUUGCUAAGCGCAUAACUCGAGAACCGCUGGACCGAUUUCGCAAAUUCUUUGUUUAGAAUGUUUUUAGAGAUUCCGGGAUGGUUCUUACGGAGAGAAAAAUUAGAAAAAUUGCUUGAAAAAGUCUUAAAUCCACAAUUUUCUAAUCACCCAUACAAACAAUUUGUGUCGUUAGUCUCGCAAAAAGUUGAGAAGGGCCAAACCGUUUAGUUUUGAAAUAUUUAUGGAAAGCCAAGGAAAGAUUAGAAAGUAAGUAAAUAUGGAAAAAUUGUGAGGAAGAUAACAAGAAGAUGGUUUUAUUUGAAUUGACAACAAAUUUAUAAAAAAGAAAACAAAAAAUAAUAUUAUUUUCAAAGUUGUCAUUGUUGCUUUGUUAAAAUAUUUUUAUCAUUAUUCAAUUGUAUAAUGCUGUAUCGAAAGCCCAAAACAAUUUGUAACAAGUAGGGAAAGGCAACCAAACAUUUUAUACUCGCAAUUUAUUGAUUUAAUUUUAUUACACACAAUUUGAAAUAAAGUCCAACAGAAUAACGAAAAUCCUCUUAUAUAGUAUAUAACGGCUGAUGUAAUUCCUGAACCUAUUUCACACAUUUUCACCACUAAGGUUAACGGGAAUAGGGGUAACUUGGCACCUGUUAGUAGGCAGUACUUUCGGCCUUGAAAUUACUACUAAAUUGCAAAUCAACAAACACCAGUCUGCAAACUCGCCAAAAAGAGCUACAAAGGAGAUUUUCCAGUUAUUCAAGUCGCUGGAAGAACUGCACAGGACUUUAAAAGAUUUACGCGACAACGAAAAUAUUUUUGGUGAAGCCAUGAUUCUGGCAGGUGAUUUUCGCCAGACUAUUCCAGUUAUUCCUGGAUCAACUGUUGCGGACGAACUAAUCACAUGCCUAAAAUCAUCUACUUUGUGGCGACACAUAAAAAAUCGUCAAUGAACAAAUAACAUACGAGUGUUUUUCCAACAAUAUCAUACUGCGAAUGUAGAAAUAGUUGGAAAUGGUAGCGACGCAGUUGACACCUCAAUGUAUUAUUAACAUUUUUAACGGGCUUCUGUCACUUCAUGGUCUCGAAAGAGGAGCUUAUUCAUCGUGUUUUUCCGGACAUGAAACCACAUAACCAUAAAUGACUGAUUGAAUGGCCUAUUUUGGUGAUAAAAAAACAAAGAUAUCGAUGAUCUUAAUGCGACAAUUUAGGAUUUCGUUCCAGGAGAGUUGACACAGCUACAAACCCGGGUGACGUAGUGUAUUAUCCCACAGAAUAUUUAAAAUUGCAUUGACUAUACCCUCUCACUUUGCAAUUAAAAUUAGUGUAAGCUGUCAUGGCUAUGAAAACGGUAAUCAUAAAUAAGUCACCGAAACAAUCUUGGCUUGGCCAACUUGCAAAUUUGUUAUUAUGAUGAUUUACGCUUAGUACAGAUCUACCAUAAUGUAUAUCAACCGGCUAUAAUGUUUUCGUCUUCGCGCGUAAGAAUUUUUUGACUAUAUUGAAAAAAUUCUAAUUUAAUGUAUACCUUAGCCACAAAAACGUGUGGUCGGGUCUGCUAGUCAUAUAUAAAAGUAAUUUAUUACUAAUUUAAUACUUCGAUUAUUCAAAAUGUACACUGCGAAGGUUGUUAAAGAGCGCGGCUUUAUCUUUAUUAUCAGCGGCCUUAUUUAACCACAAAUCAUUAACAUGGAACAUGUGACAACUCAUUUUUUUAAAUCACGUUGAAAUAAAUUUAAUGAUAACAAAUUGUUAGCACCAUAGCCAGAAAGCAACAAGUAUUGAACCGUAAAUAGGAAAUAUUCAGUGGUAAUUAUGUCCUAAAUAUAACUUACCAUGUUUCGAGAUUACUAAAUUUCUUUGUGACCACCUUUCCCAAAUCGAUACCCAAACGAUCAACAAUCCUUUGGGCCAAAUCCGGGUGAGAUGUGCCGGAAAACACUUUUAUAUUAGGCAUUCUGGAAUGCAAUGUGUUAUUGAAACAAAAUGUCUCCUUUUGAUCCAAACUGGCACAAUUGGAACUACUAACACGCGUUGAAUUAAGACAACGAACCAGAAUCACACUCCACAAGUCAA